rnacentral:rRNA from 1 species
GGGGAAUAUUGCACAAUGGGGGAAACCCUGAUGCAGCCAUGCCGCGUGUGUGAAGAAGGCCUUCGGGUUGUAAAGCACUUUCAGCGAGGAGGAAAGGUCAGUAGCUACUAUCUGCUGGCUGUGACGUUACUCGCAGAAGAAGCACCGGCUAACUCCGUGCCAGCAGCCGCGGUAAUACGGAGGGUGCAAGCGUUAAUCGGAAUUACUGGGCGUAAAGCGCACGCAGGCGGUUGGAUAAGUUACAUGUCAAAGCCCCGGGCUCAACCUGGGAAU